GAGCACCUGACUCUUAAUCAGGGUGUCCCGGGUUCGAGUCCCUGAUAGCGCACCA
rnacentral:tRNA from 1 species